GCCUUUGACUAAAUCACCCCGAAUGCACCCGAUCCCAUCAGAUCUCAGAAGCUAAGCAGGCUUUGGGACUGGACAUUGCUUGGCUGGGCGACCCACGUGCACGUCAGGUUGACACAGGCG
rnacentral:rRNA from 1 species